GCAGCAUGUGGGAUCUUCCUGGACCAGGGCUUGAACCUGUGUCCCCUGCAUCGGCAGACGGAUUCUUAACCACUGCGCCACCAGGGAAGCCCCUGACACCUGGAUUAUUAAAGAACUUGGGAACAUCCAGACAUCAUUUCUAAUAGUAAAAAGAAUAAAAGUAGAAGAGAACAGCAUCUGUGUCUGACAGUAGGGGUUUGGCUAAAUGCAUAAUGGUAAGUCCAUCCAAUGCAAGGCGAACGCAGCCUUCAAAAUAACCCUGGAGAAAACUGUUUCGUGGCCUGGUAAAGAGUCACCAUAGUUUGUUAAAUGAAAAGAAGCAUGGGGAAUUCCCUGGCAGUCCAGCAGUGGUUAGGACCCCGCGCUUUCACCGCUAAGGGAACUGGUCGGGGAACUAAGAAGCAUGGAACAAACUAUGUACAGUACAGGCUCGUUAAAACACAUACACACGUAGAGAAAAAAGUCUGAAGGAUAUAUGUGAAAAUAUUCAUGGAAUUAUCUCUGGGUGGUAGUAGAAUUAAAGGUAUUUUUAUUUUCCUUCCUUUGCUCAUCUGCAUUUUCUAAAGUUCUUACAGGAAAUGUAUUAUUUUAUACUAAGGAAUAGUAAGGUGACUACACAAGACAAGUAGACUGAAGGAGUGCCUUUAUCUGGGCUGGACCCGUCUCUGGGGACGCCAUUUCUUCUCCCUCAGCCAGAGUCCCUCUUCUUCAAAGCCAGCUGGGAUGAUUUCUCCUCCUGCAAGAUGCUCGUGACAACUCCAGCCCACCACAGAUUCACUCAAAAUAUCCUUCUAGAAGAUGUGGUAUAUAUAUACAAUGGAAUAUUACUCAGCUAUAAAAAUGAAUGAAAUAAUGCCAUUUGCAGCAACACGGAUGGAUCUAGACAUCAUCAUACUAAGUGAAGUCUUCAGCUGUUACCUUGUGGGAGAAUUGGUGGGACCUGGGAGACCCUCCCCAGUAGAGAUCUACUGGAAUGAGUUUGGGUUGCAAGGCUGCCACAUAGGAUUUUCUGUAUCCUUCCAUGGACCAUUGUUGCAAUAGGGUGAGCUGCCAGGUGGUAGGUACACCUCUGGCUUCGUUGUAGCACCCUUCUCAUGUCCUCAGCUUGAUGGAUUCCAACUGCAAGUACCUGCAGCUCCCUGGGAGGGAGUGGCUCUCUACACAGGACUGAUGGGAGUUGGUGGAUAAGCCUCCCAGCUCCUGUCCCUGGCAGGGGAACAAAUCUGGAGGGUCCAACACUGAACUCCCAAAGCUCCCUAGGAGGACUGAACCCUAGUUGCCCAGAGCCAUGACCUGUUUGAUUAUGCAUCUGGACUGGCUACCUCCCCUCCCUCUCUUCCCACUCCCUUAUUGAUGCUUUCUGGAAUCGCCACACUGCUUUAUACCCCCCAAUCUUCGCCUCUGGGUCUGCUGCUGGGCACCCAACCCAAGACCCUGUAGUCUUAACGGCGAGAAGAGUGGUGAGGAAACUUUGAGAAAUGAGAGCACACGCUUUUCCAUUCAAUUUUGCCCUUUUCUCUAAAAAUAGAGCUCUUUAUUUAAAACAGUUUAGGGUAGGCCCCAACAAACAUUAGGAAAUUAUCUAAAUAUGACAUAAACAUAAAAUAAAAUUAGAAAUAACUACAAAUAUCUUAGAACAAUAUAUAAUCUCCUCACUACCCUAAAGAAUGGGAAUGUUGCUUUCACCCGGGCAUCACCCGCUCUGCCCCUGACAUCUUUCAUGCGUGGCCCUGGAGUUCCCACUAUGCAGUUCCUGCCUGCUGGGGACACGAAAGGGCUUUGUAAACAGUUCAGUGCUGAGCACACCUGACAAAUGAUAAUAUUGAAUAGCAUGCUCUUUCCUAAAGCUGCCCAGUUUUUUGUUUAUGACUUAAUGACCAUAAAGGAGCUGGAGUUUAGAAUUAAUAGAAAGCUCAGCGUCUGUCAGAAAUUAAACUUUAAAAAAAUGCUUAAAAAACACACAAGCUUUCAGAACAGAGAAAGCGGUUUCUUCACACAAGCCUAAGACAAUAGUGAGGAUAGCUUUUAGUUAUUUGGAAUUUACUUCCAUGAAGCAGCUCGGCUGGUUCCAGAAAGGACACUGGGCUUGGUCUGGGUGUUCUCCUAGGAACUGGCCGUGAGCCACAGCCUUCCCCAGCUCCAUGGUUCCAGUUUGUUCUUCCUCUUCUGUGCUCAAUCAUGGACGUAGACAAGCCUCAUUGCAGGGAAACCCCUGCAGAAAUGCAUGUAUGUGUGUGAGUCCCAGCAGUGGUGAAGGCCUCCUGCCGGCCUCGUGCCCCUUGGAAACCCUUGCCGAGACCUCAGUACUGUUUACAUGGCCAAGGGGACGGGGCUUGGCCCAGCUGGCCAGAGACCGACAUUCUCACCCUCAGAGACGUACACAGUAAGUCAACAUUUUAGCUUCCUCGUUUGAAACAAAAGACAGGUGUUCAAUUUAAAAAGGGGUUUGCUAACGUUUUCUUUAGCAGUUGAAACUCCUAAGCACAAUCUUACGUAGAGGGCCACUGGAGAAAAUCAGGGCCCAGGGAGGCUGCUCUGGUUGCGUUGCGGGGAUCCUACAGCCCACGGCUCCCCCUGAGAUUGAGACGCCUCCUGUGAAGCCCAAGGCCUUUUGGGAACACAAUUUGAGAACCCCUGGACCAGAUGCCUUCGAGAAGCUUUUCCAGAUCUUCCAUUAAUGUUCUACCCUUGCGUUGGCUUCAAAACAACACAGCCCCGUGGAUAAAAUGCUUAUGAAGAUGCUUUUUACACAAAUGGAGGAACUUAAGUCCUGGCGGGUGAAACGGCAGAGCCAAGGAUUGUUCUGAUUCCUGUGGUCCCUGCAGGGCCACAAAACUGACAAAACCUUGGUCUAAUGGGUGAAGACUCAGCUCUGCUCGUCCAUAUACUGGUGGGUGUAGGUUAAUAAAGCGGUCGUUUGAGAACAUC